rnacentral:rRNA from 1 species
UUUGAUGGCGACCGGCGCACGGGUGAGUAACACGUAUCCAACCUGCCGAUGACUCGGGGAUAGCCUUUCGAAAGAAAGAUUAAUACCCGAUGGCAUAAUAGAACCGCAUGGUUUGAUUAUUAAAGAAUUUCGGUUAUCGAUGGGGAUGCGUUCCAUUAGGCAGUUGGUGGGGUAACGGCCCACCAAACCUUCGAUGGAUAGGGGUUCUGAGAGGAAGGUCCCCCACAUUGGGACUGAGACACGGUCCAA